AGUAAUGUAUGGGGAGUCUGCCCGAUAGAGGGGGAGUAACUACUGGAAACGGUGGCUAAUACCGCAUAAUGUCUACGGACCAAAGCAGGGGCUCUUCGGACCUUGCACUAUCGGAUGAACCCAUAUGGGAUUAGCUAGUAGGUGGGGUAAAGGCUCACCUAGGCGACGAUCUCUAGCUGGUCUGAGAGGAUGAUCAGCCACACUGGGACUGAGACACGGCCCAGACUCCUACGGGAGGCAGCCAUG
rnacentral:rRNA from 1 species